UACGGGGGGGGCAAGCGUUGUUCGGAAUUACUGGGCGUAAAGGCUCGUAGGCGGCCAACUAAGUCAUACGUGAAAUCCCUCGGCUUAACCGGGGAACUGCGUCUGAUACUGGAUGGCUUGAGUUCGGGAGAGGGAUGCGGAAUUCCAGGUGUAGCGGUGGAAAUGCGUAGAUAUCUGGAGGAACACCGGUGGCGAAGGCGGCAUCCUGGACCGAUACUGACGCUGAGGAGCGAAAGCCAGGGAGC
rnacentral:rRNA from 1 species